rnacentral:rRNA from 1 species
UACGGAGGGUGCUAGCGUUGCUCGGAAUUACUGGGCGUAAAGCGCACGUAGGCGGUCUUUUAAGUCGGGGGUGAAAUCCUGGAGCUCAACUCCAGAACUGCCUUCGAUACUGGGAAGACUCGAGUCCGGGAGAGGUGAGUGGAACUGCGAGUGUAGAGGUGAAAUUCGUAGAUAUUCGCAAGAACACCAGUGGCGAAGGCGGCUCACUGGCCCAUAACUGACGCUGAGGCACGAAAGCGUGGGGAGCAACAGG